rnacentral:rRNA from 1 species
AAUGAACGCUGGCGGCAGGCCUAAAACAUGCAAGUCGAACGCCCUAGCAAUAGGGAGUGGCGCACGGGUGAGUAACAUGUGGGAAUAUGCCUUUUGGUACGGAACAACGUUUGGAAACGAACGCUAAUACCGUAUGGUCCCUCCGGGGUAAAGAUUUAUCGCCAAAAGAUUAGCCCGCACUAGAUUAGCUAGUUGGUAAGGUAAUGGCUUACCAAGGCGACGAUCUAUAGCUGUUCUGAGAGGAAGAUCAGCCACACUGGGACUGAGACACGGCCCAGACUCCUACGGGAGGCAGCAGUUAGGAAUAUUGGACAAUGGGCGCAAGCCUGAUCCAGCCAUGCCGCGUGAGUGAUGAAGGCCUUCGGGUUGUAAAGCUCUUUAGCCGACGAAUAUAAUGACUGUAGUCGGAGAAUAAGCCCCGGCUAACUUCGUGCCAGCCGCCGCCGUAA